CCAACGGCCCUCCUUAGGGCCACAGUCUCUAUUGAAUACAUCAUAA
rfam:Necator americanus N_americanus-1.0_Cont215.1, whole genome shotgun sequence.